rnacentral:rRNA from 1 species
UACAGAGGUCUCAAGCGUUGUUCGGAUUCAUUGGGCGUAAAGGGUGCGUAGGCGGUAGGGUAAGUCGGAUGUGAAAUCCCGGGGCUCAACCCCGGAACUGCAUUCGAUACUGCUUUACUUGAGGACUGGAGAGGAGAUUGGAAUUCACGGUGUAGCAGUGAAAUGCGUAGAUAUCGUAAGGAAGACCAGUGGCGAAGGCGGGUCUCUGGACAGUUCCUGACGCUGAGGCACGAAGGUCAGGGGAGUAAACGGG